rnacentral:rRNA from 1 species
GUACCAGACUCCUACGGGAGGCAGCAGUGGGGAAUAUUGCACAAUGGGGGGAACCCUGAUGCAGCGACGCCGCGUAGGUGAAGGAGCACCUCGGUGCGUAAAGCCCUAUCGGCAGGGAAGAAAAGCGAACAGGUUCGCCUGGACGGUACCUGACUAAGAAGCCCCGGCUAACUCCGUGCCAGCAGCCGCGGUAAUACGGAGGAUGCGAGCGUUAUCCGGAUUUAUUGGGUUUAAAGGGUGCGCAGGCGGAUUUUUAAGUCAGCGGUCAAAUCGUGGGGCUCAACCCCAUUCAGCCGUUGAAACUGGGGAUCUAGAGUGUGCGAGAGGUAUGCGGAAUGCGUGGUGUAGCGGUGAAAUGCAUAGAUAUCACGCAGAACCCCGAUUGCGAAGGCAGCAUACCGGUGCACAACUGACGCUCAGGCACGAAAGCGUGGGUAUCGAACAGGAUUAGAUACCCCAGUA